rnacentral:rRNA from 1 species
AACCCGACUCCAUGAAGCUGGAUUCGCUAGUAAUCGCGCAUCAGCCACGGCGCGGUGAAUACGUUCCCGGGCCUUGUACACACCGCCCGUCAAGCCAUGGGAGCCGGGAGUGCCUGAAGUACGUGACCGCAAGGAGCGUCCUAGGGUAAGACCGGUGACUGGGGCUAAGUCGUAACAAGGUAUC